CCCUGUUGGUAUUUUACUCCCAAAAAAUCACUUCCCAGAUGCUUUGGUUGUGGCAGCUGCCACCCUCCAUGCGUGUAUCAAGUUUUUCUGAAAUAGGCAACUGCACGCGUGUGCUUUGUUGUUUCGUUCCUGCAUUCCUUUUGACUCGAUUGCACUGCCCAGACCAGGAGACAGGCUUCACGCUUUCUAUAUUAAACCAUGUGCGCACAUGAAAGGGAUUCUCGAAAUCACUACAACCCUCAAUGCUUAGUUUAAAACGAUUAAAGACCUGCAUUUCGUACAAAUUCCCUUGCGUGGUUGUGCAAACUCCCAAAAGUUUGUUAUCUGUUACUGUGCAUAACUUCAUGUGCCCAUCUUGUUUACUGAAAUGUUUUUGUUCUUUAGCAUCGAUUAUCUCGUAAAGUUGCAGCAUUGAGUGCCAUAAGCAUUGUGAUAACGUAGUGGCACCUGCGCGAUAGAAAUAUCCUCCUCCCUUAGGAUUUGAAUAUAUUGGUCGAUUAAGUUGACAUGCCUCAUGCUCUUCCUUUUCUCUUUGCUUCUUAUCUCCUGUCCACCUUCACCCUUAGACUUGGACAUUGCAGCUUAUCUUCAUUAACCAAUCUCUUUCCCUGUGCAUCAAGAUGCCAGAAUUGUUGGCAUUCUAUUUCUCCAUGAUCUAAAGCAUAAUUAGCCAAGUGAUCUGCCAGCUUGUUGCCCUCCCUAUGAAUAUGAGUAACUGUAAUAUUUGUACAAAUAAUGAGAAGCACUUAUAUAAGGGCGUCUGAAUGGAACUAUACAUGGUGCUGCUGGAGGAGCUGGAGAAAACCUUUAAGAUUUUACCCCCAUCCAAACUACAUGGAGUAUGUACAGGGUUUUUUGAGAUUUUCAUCUGAUUCAAACAAUGUACAUCAUAAUAGAACUUCAAUAUCUCAUACAUAAAGGUUACACUUGAGGAACCUUUUUCCAUUUGACUAUAUUGGUGAUGUCCCAUUUUAUUGGACUCUAAUAUCUGAUACAUAAAAUAUAUAUCAGAAGUUUGAAGUCUAACAAACACAAGUAGAUACAGAAAUCUUAACUACACAAAGACACUUACUCAGCAUUUGAUCCAGUUAUGCAGUUGUGUACUUUCGCUGGAUGUUCAAUUCUGAGAAGGCUCAUGGUCUUUUUCUGUUACUAUAUAUAGCAUAGGUUUCUACAUACUCGAGAAUAUUGAUCGCUUUGCCGGUACCCUUUUCCAUCUUUUGUAGUGCUAAGUUCUGGUUGUUUGAAAUACCUUGAAUAAAAUGAUUCCUUUCCUGUGAGGUUGCAAGUGAUAUUUGCUGCUCGUUCUGGUUGUUUUGAAACUGCUUGAAUAAAAUGGUUCAUUUACCUUGA